AUAUUGAUGGAGUUUCUUUUUCUUCUCUUAUUUUACAUCUUGAGUUUUGGUGCCAAGUUUUCUUUUUCACGUGAGGUUUUGUUUCUACUUAUCAUAUAUGAUGGUCGUUAUUUGCCAUUCAUUGUUCAGAACUAAAAAUAAAAAUGCUCAAGGUUAUACAUUAGCUCUAUGAUCAGACUAAAUGUUUGUGUACUUUAAAUGAUCUACACCUCUAAAAUGCUUCUCAUUCUCAUUUUUUUCUCAUUUAUGACAAGUAUGAGGGUUCAUUAAGUUGAUCAUCCUGUAUGGCAGUUCAGUUUUUCAUUGCAGCUAAUUUUGAAUGCUGCCUACUCCACACUUGGGAUUUUUGAGUGGAAUAAGGAAUGUACUGACAUGUAAAAGUUGUCUUGUUUUUCUUUUGUUACCAAUUAGUAACAAUAUAAGGUUGUCUUAAUGUGAUUUCAGAAAAAGAUGCUUGAAAACUUACUAUCUACUGAUAAUAAGCAGACCUUUUUACUAACAAUGUAAAGUGCAGAUUUUGAGUCUUGUGUUAUUUUUACUUUUAGUAUUUGUGCACCAAUUAAUUUUGGUUACUUUGUAUUUAUUUUCUUGAAAGAUUGAAGUUGAGAAUAUUUCAAUAUCAACCAGAUAUUAAAGUAGCUUUUUUUAAUGCCUUGGAGUGAAAAUGGGUGGUCUGCCUGAAGACUGUGUUUCAUGUUGACUUACAGGAACUAGAACCUACAGAUCACUUCUAUAAUAAAUAGUAGCAAAUUGGUCUUACCAGCCU